CAAAAACAUGGCCUUUGGGAUAAAAUGUAAGGUCGGACCUGCUCGAUGUUGGAUCAAUGGCCGCAGUAAUUUGACUGUGCUAAGGUAGCAUAAUUAGUUGCCUUUUAAUUGAAGGAUUGUAUGAAGGGUUUGACGAAAGAGAGGCUGUCUCCUUGGUAUUUAGAUGAAAUUGAAUUGUAAGUUAAAAUGCUUAUAUAAAAUGGAGGGACGAAAAGACCCUAAGAUCUUGUCUGGAGUUUUUAUUUAAGAUGUAAACUCUAGUUUUCCAGGGAAGGGUCGUAUGUAGAAACCAUCGUUAAGAAAAAGUCAACCAGGUCRAAUAGAGAACCCGAAAGGAAGUAGGAAAAGUUACCUUAGGGAUAACAGCAGGAUACCAACUAGGGAGAUCAAAUUCUUGGUGGGGCUUCUGACCUCGAUGUUGAAUUAAGGAGUCAUCCAGGAGCAGAUAUUUGGAUAGUGAGAUCGUUCAUCUUUUAAAACCUUACGUGAUCUGA
rnacentral:rRNA from 1 species